rnacentral:misc_RNA from 1 species
GCCACGCCGUCAUGUCCUCGGUCGCCACCACCUGCGCCGUGGACGUUCCUGUUGCCAUCAAACGUAUUCAGACCAUUCACAAACACGCCAGUGACGUGACCAAAUGUUGUUUUUCCAAACGAUUUCAUCUGGCUGUCGGGUCAAGCGACCGGACGGUGAGCGUGUGGGAAUGGCGGUCGGGCCACGGUUUCGAAGAAAAAUCAUAUUCGCCACUCACCCACCAUAAGUACAUGGUGACUGGUGUACAAUUCGAUGGAGAUGCUACCAUCUUGGCUACGUCGUCCUUAGAUGGUAGCACUACGCUGUGCGAUGUCGAGACCGGGCGAAUUGUGCACACAUUUGUUCAAAACAGUUGCGGUGGGAUAAGAUCGUCGUGUUUCGUGGCGAAUUAUAAAUAUUUUGUAUCAGCUGGUGACGACGGGACCAUGUGCAUGUGGGACAUGUUUAGACGAGUACUAGUCAGGACAAUUACAGCGCACGAAGAGGCUAUAUCGAUGGUAUGUUGUUCUACAGACUCCAGAAUAAUGUUGACGGGUGACACGACGGGGGUAGCCAAAGUGUGGCCAGUCUCCGAGUUGACCGAUACUUGUGGAAAAUCUACUCCUUUAUAUGUAUUAUAUGACUGCCACGAUAUGGGUGUAAAUUCUGCCGACAUAUCAACUGUCACUGCAAUAACAAAUAAGGGUAAAGUGUACAGCGCGCUGACGUGCGGUAACGACAACUUGGUUAAAAUCUGGCAACUGACUCUGUGGAAGAAAAACACAAGUUCUCAUCAGUGUGCUGUCGAAAUGGUUCAGUCACUGAAAGGCCAUUCAUCGACGGUGACGAGUGUGUGUUUUUGCGGUGGUGACGCCACGCUUUUUGCGACCACGUCGAUGGAUAAGACUACAAGAAUUUGGCGGAUGGUCAAUUCAAACAAUGCAGUGGCAUUACAAGUGUUGGAAGGACACACCCGUUACGUUAACACUUGUGGAUUCUCUCAAGACGGUUUACUGUUUGCAACUGGAUCCAACGACAGGUCUGUAAUUGUCUGGGACGUGAAAGGCCAUUUAGAUUUAAACGUAAAAUUACACGACUCGUCAGAGGACUUAAAAUCUGCAGUUAACAUCAGAAGAGACAUUCAAGUAGAAGUGACUCUUAGGAAAAAAGUAAUGUUUACGAAUGCUGUAAACUCGUGUGAUUUUAGCAACGAAUGUAAAUACCUUGUAGCGGCCGGCGGCGACAAGACCAUCAGGGUUUGGAAUAUUGACGAAAACGAACAUAUUGAAGAGUGCGAAGACUCGCCGUUGUAUGCUCACCAUUAUUCGGUACAACAGAUGGUCAUCUCUCCAUGCUCGUCGUACAUGGCGUCCUGUUCGUUGGAUGGAAUGACUAUUAUUUGGGAUCUUAAUACUCUAAAACAGAAAGGUUCAUUACAUACUGAGUACGGCGGGGCCCGAUCCUGUUCAUUUUCUGGCAACUCCGAAUUAAUUGCGGUCGCUUGCAACAACGAAAUCGUAUUCGUGUGGAAAAUCGAAACAUUACAGCUUGUUGCGAAGUUGUGCGGAAAUGACGAAGACGUCACUUGUGUUUCGUUCAGUCCGGAUUCUCGUUAUUUAAUGUCCGGUUGUGUGGAAGGGCACUUCCGAAUUUGGUCAGUUCAUCCUAAAAAGCACAUAAUAUCCGAGACAAGUAUAAUCGUCCAGGACAAAGCGCACGAAAUCGGAAUAACCAGCGCCCAUUUCGCGUUCAAGAAUCCAUCUAGAAAAUCAAAUUCGAUAUUGAUGUUAACGGGCGGGAGCGAUGCCGUGGUAAAAACCUGGAGGCUAAUGAAUGAACGAAUCGACUUUAAAAUGAAGUUUGUUGGUCACGGUAGCGACAUCACGUGCGUUAAGUUCCCACGGCACAUAACCACGUUCAUGGCGUCUACUUCGCUGGAUAAGACAGCUCGAAUAUGGCAAACGAAAACUGGAGAUUGUCUGCAUGUCAUCGAUCCAAAAGAUGCUAUCCUCACUUGUUGCUCAUUUUCGUCAAAUAAUAAAAUACUAGCUACAGGGUCGUUGGACAAAGCUAUGUUUCUGUGGAAUUUACCGUUGGACGACGAAGACGCCACGUUAAUUAGGAAGUCGUAAACAGCACAGUGAACACUCACCCCAAACGUAUCUACCAGUGGACAGUCUGCACAUAUAAAUGAAUACGUCAUUGGAAGUACACAGAUUGCGAUUGAACGGAAUGUCCAAUGGCGACAGACGAGAUUUGGAAGUGGC